UUUUACCUGUGUGGUUUCAGUUCUCUCUCAACUAUAAAACAAGAGUCUCUGCACCGCCCCCUUCUCGUUCUUUCUCAAUUUUUGAUCCUCCAGCUCUUCUUGUUCUUGUUCUUCGGAUCCAAACUCCAAAAUCCUAGCUGUCUUUUAUGCUAGAGAGAGAGAGAGAGAGAGAGAGAGAGCUUGAGGGAUCCGGAUCAUUGAAUCUCUACGAUGGAACGGAUCGUCGGCGGUAAGUACAAGCUCGGCCGCAAGAUCGGCAGCGGAUCGUUUGGUGAAAUCUUCCUCGCUACGCAUAUCGAUACAUUUGAGAUCGUCGCCGUUAAGAUUGAAAACGGUAAAACUAAGCAUCCGCAGCUCCUUUAUGAGGCCAAGUUAUACAAUAUUCUUCAAGGAGGAAGUGGUAUUCCUAGCAUAAGAUGGUCUGGUGUAGACGGGGAGGACAAUGUGCUUGUGCUCGAUUUGUUAGGACCCAGUCUUGAGGACCUGUUGGUGUAUUGUGGGAGGAAGUUCUCAUUGAAGACAGUUCUAAUGUUGGCUGAUCAAAUGAUUACAAGAAUAGAGUACGUGCACUCUAAAGGAUUCUUGCAUAGAGACAUAAAACCUGAUAACUUCCUCAUGGGUCUUGCUCGGAAAGCAAACCAGGUUUACAUGAUUGACUUUGGGCUUGCAAAAAGAUACCGGGAUGCAACAACCAAUCGCCAUAUUCCUUACAGGGAGAAUAAAAACUUGACGGGGACUGCACGUUAUGCAAGUUGCAAUACUCAUCUUGGAAUUGAGCAAAGCCGGCGGGAUGAUUUAGAAUCACUGGGAUAUGUGCUUUUAUAUUUUUUGAGGGGAAGCCUUCCAUGGCAGGGUUUAAAGGCUGCCACAAAGAAGCAGAAGUAUGACAAAAUAUGUGAGAAGAAGUUAUCAACUCCUAUAGAGGUUCUCUGCAAAUCUCAUCCAGUGGAGUUUGCUUCAUACUUUCAUUACUGCCACUCACUGACAUUCGAUCAGCGACCUGAUUAUGGAUUCUUGAAGCGUCUGUUCCGCGACUUGUUUGCUCGUGAAGGAUAUGAAUUUGAUUUCAUAUUUGAUUGGACAAUCAUAAAGUAUCAGCAGUCACAAAAGAAUAGAACCCAGUCUCGAUUAUCUUCUGUUCCUGUAGGUAGCAGUAGCCGUGCAAUGCCACUAGAUGUGGACAAUCAUCAAGGGGGUGUUACUGUUCCUUUUUCAGCUGAAGUAACAGAGCGCAUUAGACCUGGAAAUGCUACUGGUCCUGGUUUCCGGAUGCAUUUUAAAUCACCAAUUGCCAAGAAUUUAAGUUCUGAGAAUCCUAUUGAGAAGAAUGUGCAGACCGAAGAACACGUGGCCUCUACUUCAUAUGCACUUGCUGGUUCCUCUAAAAGAAAUUCCUCAAAGCUUGCAAUGCCCACUGAUACUACAAAUCCUGGUAAUGGACAUGGCAAUCGAAUGGGUCCUUCAAGUAGCUGGAUAUCGUCACUGCCACGUAUCUCGUCUGCAAAGUGAUUUAUGUGUUUUGUUUUGUUGUGGAUCUGCUCAAGAACAUUCUAGGGACACAACGUUUGAAGCUGUAAAUGUGUGGUGGUCGGAGUUUUGUUCUUCACUUUGUGUCUGUUGAGAAGAUUCUGGUAAUGCAUCUACAGAGGCUGCAAUGUGCCACUGAUGUGAUGUGCUGCAUUGGUUCCUCUAUUGAUGCCAGCUUGCGUAAUUUUUUCUUAAGACCCCUGGGUGUUCUGCUGGAGGAAUUUCACCUAGUGCACUAAUCUUGAUGUCCAUGUUAUGUGUCUUAUCUGAAGCAUCCCUAAGAUUUCUUUUUCCACAACAUUGUUUGCAGGAUGAAACGUGGCAGGGAGCUGCUUACUGAGGAAGAAGGCAUAUAGGAAAUGUUGGCAUUAUGGGAUUUCAUGUAUGCUGAUCAAGAGAUUUAGACCCUCUUGAUGUCAACAAAAAUCGUGAAAUUGGUGGUUUCUUACCAGGCAGGACCGGGAGGGUAGUAAAUGCACCACAAUUAGUAGUUGGAUAUGGUGAAAUCUGCAAAAAUCCUUUAUGCUGGAUCUUUGGCAUGCUGUUAAUAUCUGUGCUCUUCAGUCUGGAGAUCUAAGAACCCAUAACGUGUUGAUAGUCCAUUACCGUUUGAGAUGCAUUUUUUAUGCGAACUGCCACCAGGUACAUUACGUUUGAAAGCAGAUUCGAAUCGGAGUUAUUGAAUUCAUAUAUAGAUUGCAAGCAAGCCAUCACACACACUUGUGUGGAUCACCAACUCAUUUCCACGAUGUACAUGGGGAUCAUUUGGCUACGAGACUGGGAUUCCAGGCUGAAUUUCAGAAACUCAUUUUGGUGGCAUCUGCAUUCUAUUUCCACCUGAUAUCUGUUGGGGGUGUAUUUAAUGCCUCCAGUCAAUCUUAGCUCAGCCAAGGAAGUAGAAUGGAAGAUAAGAUAUUUGAAACGGGUAGUUUGCAAAUGCAGUCCAGGUGAGAGUUCUGAAGAGGUAAAAAGUCAUAUUGUAGAAAAGGGUGAUUCCUAUAAAGGGAGGUCUGUGUUCAUCGUCUUAGAUGCCACCACCCUUAUUUUUGCGUUUUGACUUCACCUCAAACCCUUUGGAAGCCUUUACAUUGUUUUUUGUUCA